rnacentral:rRNA from 1 species
GAUUAACGCUAGCGGCAGGCCUAAUACAUGCAAGUUGUACGGGAUUAUUGGUAGCAAUACUGAUAUGAGAGUAGCGCACGGGUGCGUAACACGUAUGCAACCUACCUUUAACUGGGGAAUAGCCUUCCGAAAGGAAGAUUAAUACCGCAUAACAUUGCGAAACGACAUCGUUUUGCAAUUAAACCUACGGGGGUUAGAGAUGGGCAUGCGUCCGAUUAGCUAGUUGGCGGGGUAAUAGCCCACCAAGGCAACGAUCGGUAGGGGUCUGAGAGGAUGAUCCCCACACUGGUACUGAGACAC